rnacentral:misc_RNA from 1 species
UCGAAUAAACUUGAUCAGGCUGUUGCUGGCUCUUCUUCGGAGGGGUAUGUGCACGCUUGUCAUCUUUAUCAUUUCUCCCAACUGUGCACAUAUUGUAGACCUGAUUCUUUUUGAAGAAAUUCAAGUUGGGGGACUGCUGUGCUUUCCAAAGUCGGCUUUCCCUUGUAUUUUUCAGGUCUAUGUCAUUUUUCACAACCUCUAGAAUGCGUUUAGAAUGUUGAAUCAUACAUAUAAAGUUAAUAUA